rnacentral:rRNA from 1 species
AUUGAACGCUGGCGGCAGGCCUAACACAUGCAAGUCGAACGAGUGGCGGACGGGUGAGUAAUGUCUGGGAAACUGCCUGAUGGAGGGGGAUAACUACUGGAAACGGUAGCUAAUACCGCAUACCAUCAGAUGUGCCCAGAUGGGAUUAGCUAGUUGGUGGGGUAACGGCUCACCAAGGCGACGAUCCCUAGCUGGUCUGAGAGGAUGACCAGACACAGUGGAACAGUGACGCGGUCAAGAAGCCUACGGGAGACAGUAGUGGGGAAUAUUGCACAAUGGGCGCAAGCCGGAGGCAGCCAUGCCGCAUGUAUGAAGAAGGCCUUCAGGUUGUAAAGUACUUUCAGCGGGGAGGCGUUACCCGCAGGAGAAGCACCGGCUAACUCCAUGCCAGCAGCCGCGGUAAUAC